UUAUUUAUUUAUUUAUUUUGUAUUAUAGCAGUAUUGCUCUUUAUGUCGCAUUUCAUUGCCAAGAAAAAGAAAAAAAGGAAAAGCUGAAAGUAUUUCUUUAUCUAUUAUCAUUGCAUGAAUGAUAACAGUAUAGUUAAGCAAAAUAUGUGCAAUAUAGUUAAGCCAACAAAAUCACCAAAUGGGAACCUUGUGGCAGGACACCUUAUUUGUAACUUGUAGAUGUAAAUGCAAAUCCUCAUACGUUGGCACUUCUUUCAAAUGUUGUUGUCAUUGUAAAGCUUCUCUUCUUCUUUUAAUAUGUACAUAAUAACAACAGGGAUUGGAGGACGGGGCAUGUGGUUUCAGAAAGUUCCUCUAAAGUUAUUAAUUUGAUUCAUUGAUUGAUGACUACUACAAAUGAAAUUACAGUAUUAAUGAUUCAUAUGUCUUUACUUUGUAGUUAUCUUCAACGACGUGCAGCAAAGGAUAGGUCAUUUACUUAUGAGGUAUGAUUUUAUUCUUCUAAUUUCCUGGAUAACCUGAGUUAGUUUCCACUGUAAAUGAUGAAUGGUUGCGAUGUAAGUGCAACAUAAGAUUAUAGUUAAUUGGCUAACAAGAAUUUAAAUUAAGAUUGUUUGUCUUUCUACCUUUUCAUUUCAAUUGUGUAUGGUAAAAAAACAUACUUCACCUAAGAACUGAUGAAUGUAGGUUUCAAUUCCAAGUUUUCCCAUAGUGAUGCCAAUAAAAUUUUCUGCUUCAUCGGGAAAGCUAAUUUAUUUUGCGCAUCCAUUAUGUGAAACUUUCCUAGAAUAGGUUUUUGAUGUUAUUGUUUGAGGCUUCGAGCUCUAGCAUUAGUCAAUAUUCCAUGUAGUAAAGUUCUGGCUGUGUUUAAACAUGCGUCCUUGUAUUCUCCUAUACAAACUUUUGUUGAACUCUUUCAUCAUGCAAGAUUUUGGUAAAUAAGAGAAAGCUUACUGUGGUGACCGAUUAACGUUGGUGCCUAUCACUAACUUUUAUUUAUAUAGAAGCUCGUUUAACAUUGAGUUUUAGGGUAAAAAAAGCAUUUUUUUU
rnacentral:misc_RNA from 1 species